rnacentral:rRNA from 1 species
GACGAACGCUGGCGGCGUGCUUAACACAUGCAAGUCGAACGGAAAGGCCCUGCUUUUGUGGGGUGCUCGAGUGGCGAACGGGUGAGUAACACGUGAGUAACCUGCCCUUGACUUUGGGAUAACUUCAGGAAACUGGGGCUAAUACCGGAUAGGAGCUCCUGCUGCAUGGUGGGGGUUGGAAAGUUUCGGCGGUUGGGGAUGGACUCGCGGCUUAUCAGCUUGUUGGUGGGGUAGUGGCUUACCAAGGCUUUGACGGGUAGCCGGCCUGAGAGGGUGACCGGCCACAGUGGGACUGAGAUACGGCCCAGACUCCUACGGGAGGGAGCAGGGGGGAAUAUUGCACAAUGGGCGGAAGCCUGAUGCAGCAACGCCGCGUGCGGGAUGACGGCCUGCGGGUUGUAAACCGCUUUCGCCUGUGACGAAGCGUGAGUGACGGUAAUGGGUAAAGAAGCACCGGCUAACUACGUG